AGAGUUUGAUCCUGGCUCAGGAUUAACGCUGGCGGUGUGCCUAACACAUGCAAGUCGAGCGCCCCUUCGGGGGAGCGGCGGACGGCUGAGUAACACGUUGGUACCUACCCCGAACUCGGGAAUAAGCACUGGAAACGGUGUCUAAUGCCCGAUAGCACUCUUCGGAGUAAAGAAUUUCGGUUCGGGAGGGGCCUGCGCCCGAUUAGCUUGUUGGUGAGGUAACGGCUCACCAAGGCUCUGAUCGGUAGGUGGUCUGAGAGGAUGAUCACCCAGACUGGGACUGAGACACGGCCCAGACUCCUACGGGAGGCAGCAGUGAGGAAUCUUGCACAAUGGGGGAAACCCUGAUGCAGCAACACCGCGUGGAGGAAGAAUGCCUUCGGGUUGUAAACUCCUUUUAUACGGGACGAACAUUGACGGUACCGUAUGAAUAAGGACUGGCUAACCACGUGCCAGCAGCCGCGGUAAUACGUGGAGUCCAAGCGUUAUCCGGAUUUACUGGGCGUAAAGCGUCUGUAGGUGUCCCGUUAAGUCUUCGGUGAAAUCUCCAGGCUCAACUUGGAAACUGUCGAGGAAACUAGCGGGAUCGAGUACGGUAGAGGUAGAUGGAAUUCUUGGUGUAGAGGUAAAAUUCGUUGAUAUCAAGAAGAACACCAGUGGCGAAGGCGAUCUACUGGGCCGUUACUGACACUGAGAGACGAAAGCGUGGGGAGCGAACGGGAUUAGAUACCCCGGUAGUCCACGCUGUAAACGAUGGGCACUAGGCAUCUGGGGCAUAGACCCCCUGGGUGUCGUAGCUAACGCGUUAAGUGCCCCGCCUGGGGAGUACGAGCGCAAGCUUAAAACUCAAAGGAAUUGACGGGGGGCCGCACAAGCGGUGGAGCGUGUGGUUUAAUUCGACGCUAAGCGAAGAACCUUACCAGGGCUUGACAUCCCGGUCGUAUUUUGUGGAAACACAAAAGUCGGUUUGGCCGGACCGGUGACAGGUGCUGCAUGGUCGUCGUCAGCUCGUGUCGUGAGAUGUUGGGUUAAGUCCCGCAACGAGCGCAACCCUCGUCGUGUGUUGUAUUUUUCACACGAGACUGCCUGGGUUAACCAGGAGGAAGGCGGGGAUGACGUCAGAUCAGCAUGGCCCUUAUGCCCUGGGCGACACACGCGCUACAAUGGCCGGCACAAUGGGUUGCGAAACCGCGAGGUGGAGCUAAUCCCAUCAAAGCCGGUCUCAGUUCGGAUUGGAGGCUGCAACUCGCCUCCAUGAAGUCGGAAUCGCUAGUAAUCGCGGAUCAGCCAUGCCGCGGUGAAUACGUUCUCGGCCCUUGUACACACCGCCCGUCACACCACGAAAGUCGGGAAUGCCCGAAGCACCCUUAGCCAACCUUUUGGAGGCGGGGUACCACGGCAGGUUCGAUGAUUGGGGUGAAGUCGUAACAAGGUA
rnacentral:rRNA from 1 species